rnacentral:rRNA from 1 species
CAAGUCGAGCGAGAAAGUGUAGCAAUACAUGAGUAAAGCGGCGCACGGGUGAGUAACACGUGGAUAACCUGCCUCAAAGUGGGGAAUAACACCGGGAAACCGGUGCUAAUACCGCAUAUUCUGACGAGAUCUGUGGAUUUUGUCAGGAAAGGAGCAAUUCGCUAUGAGAGGGGUCCGCGGCUGAUUAGCUAGUUGGUGAGGUAAUGGCUCACCAAGGCCACGAUCAGUAGCCGGUCUGAGAGGACGGUCGGCCACACUGGAACUGAGACACGGUCCAGACUCCUACGGGAGGCAGCAGUGGGGAAUUUUUCGCAAUGGGGGCAACCCUGACGAAGCAAUGCCGCGUGGAUGAUGAAGUAUCUCGGUACGUAAAAUCCUUUCGACGGGGACGAAACCGCAAGGUUGACGGUACCCGUAGAAGAAGCCCCGGCUAACUCCGUGCCAGCAGCCGCGGUAAUACGGGGGGGGCAAGCGUUGUUCGGAAUUACUGGGCGUAAAGGGUGCGUAGGCGGCUUUCUAAGUCGGAUGUGAAAACUCUGGGCUCAACCCAGAGCCUGCAUCCGAAACUGGAGAGCUAGGGUUCUGGAGGGGAAAGCGGAAUUCCUGGUGUAGCGGUGAAAUGCGUAGAUAUCAGGAGGAACACCGGUGGCGAAGGCGGCUUUCUGGACAGAUACCGACGCUGAGGCACGAAAGCUAGGGGAGCAAACAGGAUUAGAUACCCUGGUUAGUCCUAGCCCUAAACUAUGGAUACUUGCUGUGGGGGGGGAUUGAAGCCCCUUGUGGCGAAACUAACGCAUUAAGUAUCCCCCCCCGGGGGAGUACGGUCGCAAGGCUGAAACUCAAAGGAAUUGACGGGGGCCCCC